rnacentral:tRNA from 1 species
AGCCUUGUGGUGUUAAGCAUAUGAGAUUGCAAAUCUUAAGGGGCAAUUUAGUAUUUGCCGGGGCUU